rnacentral:rRNA from 1 species
AACGAACGCUGGCGGCAGGCUUAACACAUGCAAGUCGAGCGCCCCGCAAGGGGAGCGGCAGACGGGUGAGUAACGCGUGGGAAUCUACCCAUCUCUACGGAAUAACGCAUGGAAACGUGUGCUAAUACCGUAUACGUCCUUCGGGAGAAAGGUUUAUCGGAGAUGGAUGAGCCCGCGUUGGAUUAGCUAGUUGGUGGGGUAAAGGCCUACCAAGGCGACGAUCCAUAGCUGGCCUGAGAGGAUGAUCAGCCACACUGGGACUGAGACACGGCCCAGACUCCUACGGGAGGCAGCAGUGGGGAAUAUUGGACAAUGGGCGCAAGCCUGAUCCAGCCAUGCCGCGUGAGUGAUGAAGGCCCUAGGGUUGUAAAGCUCUUUCACCGGUGAAGAUAAUGACGGUAACCGGAGAAGAAGCCCCGGCUAACUUCGUGCCAGCCGCCGCGGUAAUAC